AUUAAUCACAUUGUGUCGAGGUUCUCGUCAGUAUUUCCCCGUGAGUUUCAUAACUUUUUUUUUUGGGGGGGGGUAAAUCUUUUUUGUUAUAUGACAGAGUGAAAUAACAGUCGUGAUAAUGCAAAAUUUUAGACAUCGUGCAGUACACCAAAAUAUGCAGGUCGGGAGGGGAGGGCCUGUACAGUUUUUGUAACGUAAAGGUGUUGUUUCCCUUAUUCCUCACACUCUGUAGUUCCAUCUCCCCACCUCCUUCCAUUUGACUUUAUUACUUGGCCUCGUUGUGUCAAGCGAUAGAAUAUGUGAGUGUCCCUAGGUGCGAGUUAGUGAGAUAUGUAAGGUAGUGAGAUAUAACGUUGAGACUCACGGGUCUUUGCGUUCCAGGUGUGUAUGCGGGUCUAUAGCGUGCCAUGAGAGUAGGUUUAGUGGAUUGUAUAAUACGUGUCCCCGUUUCUAGUGCGUUAUCUUAUAUGGCUAGGGGUGUUGUCAUUACUACUUGCAGCAGAGCCUACAGUCCGUAAAAUUUCCCAUGCGUGAUGCCUUAGUGUCGUUAGUGGUGUGUGUGUCGGAGACCUAGUAAUGUGUGAUUGGAGUGGAUUUAAGAUGUUGCGUGACUGUUGUGUUAUAUGAGCGUGAGCUCUACUUUUGACAUUUUGAUACUGGAACGUUUAACAAGGUAUGGUUUGACUCGUGUUUCCCUAGGGAGUCUGAACACUCCUCAGAUCCCGUCAGGGCUGGGUGUUCCUCUUUUUAGAGUUUCAGAAGUCGAUAGAUUUUUUCUUUUUUUUCUCUUACCCUUCCCUUUUUUCCCCCCUUUGUUUUUAUGGUAAUGUAUCUCUCCGAUCCCGAUCCCGAUUCCCCGGUUCUGGGGCCCGUCCAGCGAAAUGGAAGAGAGAGAGAGAGGUAAGAAGAGAAAAGAAGAAAAGAAGAAGAAGAAGAAAGAAAGAGAGAGAGG